rnacentral:ncRNA from 1 species
GUUGGUAGAGGCGCGGCGCGCAUAAGUAGUAACCGGUCAAGGGCAAACGUCCGGUUGCGAAAGGGCAAGCCGCCGAAGUAUCGCGGAACGCCCGGUCCGCGGUGCUGGGCCGUCGGGAAAUACCCGCCGGACUGUCACAGAAAUGUGGAGCGCUAUCGGAU